rnacentral:tRNA from 1 species
CAAAGAAUAGCUUAACCUAAAGCACUUCGCUUACACCGAAAUUAUGUUUGGUAAACUCAAACUUCUUUGAG